rnacentral:rRNA from 1 species
AUUGAACGCUGGCGGCAUGCCUUACACAUGCAAGUCGAACGGUAACGGGCCUUCGGGUGCCGACGAGUGGCGAACGGGUGAGUAAUACAUCGGAACGUGCCCGAUCGUGGGGGAUAACGAGGCGAAAGCUUUGCUAAUACCGCAUACGAUCUACGGAUGAAAGCAGGGGACCGCAAGGCCUUGCGCGGACGGAGCGGCCGAUGGCAGAUUAGGUAGUUGGUGGGAUAAAAGCUUACCAAGCCGACGAUCUGUAGCUGGUCUGAGAGGAUGAUCAGCCACACUGGGACUGAGACACGGCCCAGACUCCUACGGGAGGCAGCAGUGGGGAAUUUUGGACAAAGGGCGCAAGCCUGAUCCAGCCAUGCCGCGUGCAAGAUGAAGGCCUUCGGGUUGUAAACUGCUUUUGUACGGAACGAAAAGCCUUCUUUUAAUACAGGAGGGUCAUGACGGUACCGUAAGAAUAAGCACCGGCUAACUACGUG